CUUAGAUUCAUUCCAAUGGCUUCUCUUGUUGGUCCUCCAGAAAUCUAUGGCACACAAAAAUCUUCCUCCACCAUUCAACAAUCAGCCCCUACUGUUCGCAAUCCCUUUAUGGAUCUAAUGGUUGCAAAUUUCAACUCCAUAAAAACACAACCUCCUAAUAUGGGCUACACUGAAAACAUGUCAGCAACUUAUCUUUCUACUUCAAACCCUUGUUUAGAUUUCUUCUUUCAUGUUGUUCCUGAUACUCCUUCCCAAUCCCUUACUAAAUAUUUACAAUGUGCAUGGGAUCAUGAUUCUUUAACCGCCUUGAAACUUAUUUGCAAUUUGCGUGGUGUUCGUGGCACUGGCAAAUCUGAUAAAGAAGGUUACUACACUGCCGCUUUAUGGCUUCAUCAAUUACACCCUAAAACCCUUGCCUGUAAUUUAGAAUCCAUGGCGAGUUUCGGGUAUUUCAAGGAUUUGCCUGAGAUUCUAUACAGGCUACUUGAAGGAGCUGAUGUGAGAAAAAAGGCUAAAAAAGAAAGAGAAUUAAGUAACAGGCUGGGAAGCAAAAAAUUUAAGAGAUAUAAAGUUGGAAAGGAUAGAAGUUGGAAACCAUUUGGAGGACUUGAAGUAUCUAAUGAGAGCAAAGUUGAAAAUGAGAAACAAAAAGCGAGGAGCGCCAGAGAGCAGAGGAAAAUCGAGAUGGCUAAAAAGGCUUUCGAGAGGUAUAGGCAUGAUCCUGAUUAUAGAUUCUUGCAUGAGCGUGUAUCUGAUCUUUUUGCAGAUUGUUUGAAGUUAGAUCUUGAGUUGUUGAACACUAGGAAAUUGAAAGAUAUCAGCCUUGCAGCUAAAUGGUGUCCUUCUUUAGAUUCAUCUUUUGAUAAAAGAACACUUUUAUGUGAAAGCAUAGCAAGGAAGGUUUUUACAAGAGAGUCAUACCCUGAAUAUGAAGGAAUUGAAGACGCACAUUACGCGUAUAGAGUGAGGGAUCGAUUGAGGAAAGAAGUUUUAGUGCCCUUACGCAGAGCGCUGGAAUUGCCUGAGGUUUAUAUUGGGCGACAAGAUUGGGGUUCGAUUCCUUACAAUAGGGUAGCAUCAGUUGCUAUGAAGUUGUACAAAGACAAGUUUUUGAAACAUGAUGAAGAAAGAUUUAAAGACUAUCUUGAGAAAGUGAAACAGCGGAAAGCCAAGAUUGCUGCGGGUGCAUUGUUGCCUCAUCAGAUAAUAGGAGCACUAAAUGACACUGAUGACGGGGGUCAAGUUGCUGAGUUGCAAUGGAAGAGAAUGGUAGAUGACUUGUCCCAAAAGGGAAAAUUGAAAAAUUGUCUUGCUAUUUGUGAUGUCUCGGGCAGUAUGUCGGUGUACUCCAAAGGAGGUUUCAGUGGCGCUAGGCGUUGUCGUUUCAGAAUUGAGUGUCGAGCCUUGGAAAGGGAAGUUGAUAACAUUCAGCAGGAACCCGAAGCUUCAACUAGUUGAAGGGAAGGAUUUAAGGUCCAAGGUUGGGUUUGUGAGAAAUAUGGAAUGGGGAAUGAACACUGAUUUUCAAAAGGUGUUUGAUCUAAUACUACAAGUAGCUGUGGAUGGGAAACUAAAGGAGGAUGAGAUGAUCAAGAAAGUGUUUGUGUUCAGUGACAUGGAGUUUGAUCAGGCGUCGGCUAAUCCAUGGGAGACAGAUUAUGAGACUAUUGUUAGAAAAUUUACAAAGAAAGGUUAUGGGAAUUGUGUGCCUCAGAUUGUGUUUUGGAAUUUAAGGGACUCGAGAGCAACACCAGUGCCAGCAAACCAAAAAGGAGUUGCAUUAGUGAGUGGUUUUUCGAAGAAUUUGCUGACAUUGUUCUUGGAAGAAAGGGACUUUCAUCCUGAAGCUAUUAUGGAAGCAGCAAUCUCUGGUGAAGAGUAUCAAAAGCUAGUUGUGCUUGAUUGAUGUAUAUCAAACUUGGGAAGAGGAGAAAGGGAAUGGAAAUGAUUUAAUUUUUCCUAUUUAGAGACUUUUAAUAAGAGUUGGAUGUUGAUGAAAACUGUUCCUCAAAUAUUGAAGAAAAGAAGUUUAUGUUUUAAGGAAAUUGAAUAUUCCAUCUAUUUCAUUUUAUAUGUUAGUACUUUUUUGUUUAAGUAGUAUACACAGGACAAGAUGAUAAUUUUAUGCGGCAAAAGCUAAUACGUAUUGUUAUAAAUAAAAUUUUAUUUAUGGUGA